AUUGUUGUUGGUUAAUGCAUUCAUUUAUUAUUGCUUACACGUGGUAUUAAGUUUGUGCAAAUAAGUCAGUUUUGCUAAUUGUAGGUGCCGUCAUAAUGUUAAUUGUAAUAAAGUUAAAGUAGAAUUAAAACUUGAAAGUGUAACAUGUAUCUAAAAGUGAAAAUUAUAAUUUAUAUUUAUAUAUUGACGUCUAAUAUUUGGAAAUCUCAAUCAUUUUUGUGCCCGCAUUGCAGUGAUGUUUUUGAAUUAUUUAUAGAACUUGUGUUUUUCAGUUAAUAUGCCUGGAGAACAAGAUUUAUUUGAGGAAAGCGAAAUUGACUUCUCUGCUGACGACGAUAUAGCCGAUCCCACCAUUCACCAUCCCAAAAGUCUCAAAAAGGAAAGGGAGUUUGCUUUGUGAGGUUGCAAUGAAGGAGCGGCGUUUGGAUUCCAACUGGUCUUCAAAAAUAAUUUGUAAGGCUGAUUUCUAUAUCGAUUUCGUGAAAGUAUGUUUAUGUCAGGGUUGCCAAAAAACAACAAACACUUGGAGUUAGUCAUUGUGUUUGUUGUUGAGGUAUUCGUGUUCAAUUUUGUGUUUCUCGAUCCUGCUAUUAUGUGUAUGGUUGAUAGCUACCGUGUAGUAAAGUUAUUGUUUUGUCGUUGGUUUUCCCAUAGUGAUAUGUAUCUUUCAUCAGAUGAUAAGGAGACAACUAUUGCAAAAUGCGUUGAGUGCGGACGUAAUAUUAGAGGCUACGCAGGGGUUUCUUCCAACUUUCUCACGCAUUUAAAAUUAAGACAUGCUGACGCUUACAAAAAAUAUAAAAAUAUGAAAUUAGGUAAUUUUGGUUCACUGCAAGAAUGCGUCAAUGGCAAAAUUUUACAUUGGAUUGUGGAUGCUGCUAUGCCUGUUUCUGUCGUUGACAGACAGUCCUUCGUCUCCAUAUUUGAGGAUACUGGACUGAAAAUAAUGAACAGGCAAACCGCGAAAAAAAAGUUGGAAGAUUCUUACCAAAACAUGUUGGCAAAAAUAAAAGAUGGAAUUUCUUCUGCUGAAUAUUUUUGUACAACUGCUGAUAUUUGGUCAGGGAAAAAACGUAGUUUUUUUGGUUACACUUGCCAUUGGCUGACCAAAGAUUUUCAAAGACAAUCAGUGGCAUUGGCUUGUAGAAGGUUCAAAGGUGCUCAUACGGCAAAGUUGGGCAGAUGAUCGCGGAACUUAACAAUUUCUUUAACCUUGAUGACAAAAACAUUGUUAUGACCAUUACCGACAAUGGGUUAAAUUUUAUUAAAGCUUUUAAAGACCAUGGAAUUGACAAUUUCCACCAGGAAGAUGACAGAGAAGACGACAGCGAUGACGAACUGUCUUUCCGGGAAAAUAAGUUUUUAUUGCCAAAAUACCAUCGGUGCUCUAGCCAUACGCUGAACUUGCUUGCAACUACCGAUUUUUUGAAAAUUUUGAAAGCAGAUCUGGCUGUUUACGAAAAACACAAAAUGAUUUUUGAAAAAUUUAAUAGCCUUUGAAAGAAGUGCAACUGGCCAAAGUCAUCAGAAGUUAUUGUCGCUUAUUUAGGAUCAAACUUGGUUGUGCCCGUUGUGACAAGGUGGAACUCUUUGUAUGAUGCCGUUACAAAAAUAACACAUCAUAAGAGUAGGCUUAAUAUUUUGUGCGACCAAUUAAGUUUGGUCGCAUUUUUCAGUGGCGUUCAAUAUUUGGAGUCAUACAAGUUGCUGAUGACUCCGAUUACCUGUACUCAUUACAUUAAGCAACAAAUUGCAAAAGCUGAGUAAAAAGGAAUUUCACCUAAGCUCAGUCGCUGCAAAAAUUAAUCUGACCCUGUGGAGCCGAUUUGAAAUAGUUUUUAGUUUAUCCCCUGAAGCAAAUAUUGCAAUCACAGCUGUUGUAUUGACUCCAUAAGUUAAAAUGAAGUGGCUGCCUGUUCUGGAAAGAUCCACAACUGGCAUAAACAAGGAAAUAGUAUCCAGAAACGUAAUUCAAGAAAUAAGUAGAUUCGCGGAAUCAUCAAAUCUCGCUAUUCAAAAUAAUUUUAAAAGUAAUGAUUUG